CCCACAAAAUCAAAAGUUAAUAUUUCUCAAUAAACAAAAAAGAAACUCGGAAAAAAUUCAGCACCGUAGAUAUACAGACUAACGAUGUCAACGCAUCAGAUUCGAGACGGAUUUUCAAAAUAACUUAAACUCGAACUCUGAAUCCGAUAGAUUUUAAAAAUUUAUAUUCAAAUCGAAUCCCAACUAAAAAAUUUGAAAUAGAAUCUGAACCAAAAAUUCAAAUCCAAAACAAUUAUUUAUCUUUACCGUAUUUCAAAAAUAUAUUACAUUAAAAUACAAUUUCAAAUAUAACAGCUAAUAUUUAUAUGUUAUUAUAUAAUGUAAAACCGAUUCGAGUUUGGGUCAAAUUCGGAUUCGGAUCGAAUACAAUCAAAAUCUAUACCAGAAUUUAAAUCUGUCAGAUUUUUAUUUUUGAUAUAUAUUUUCAAAACUAUAUUCAUUUAGCAUCGAAUAAAUUCACUCCGUGCGAGUUCGGAUUCGGAUAAAGGCUUGGAUAUUCGUACCCGUACCGCGUACGAUAAAAAGUGCUACGAGUCUCGCGGGACUAAAAUUUAGGAUUAUCUCUUUUUCUACCACGUCGGAAUAGCCUAUAAUUACUCUAAAAAUUUAAGCGGCUAGAAAACAGUAUUUUAACAAUUUUAUAUUGUAUAAAUGAAUUUUUUUUAAGCUGUUUUGUGAAGGUUAGGUUAUGAUUAAUUAGUGGUAAACACAGAGGAGUUUGGAUAUUUAAUUAGGGUUAGGAGCCUCUAAUCAAGUUGUUAUUUUAUUUUUAUUAUUAUUGUUAUUAUUAUUAUUUUAAUCUUGCCACAAGGCCCAUAAGAUCUGUAAGGAUUUUAAAAGGAUAAAAUAUAUAAAAGUCUCUUGUAAAUAUCUAUUUUUUUUAUUUUUCCUUCCUUCGAAAAAUCUAUAUUUUACCCCCUCAAUAUUUCGAAAAUAUUUUUAGGUGGAUAUGGCGUUAACGGAGAGAGCAAAAUGACCAAAUUACUCUUAUUUUUUCUAUAAGAAAAAAAUAAUUUUAAUGUAUUUCUGUUAUUUUGAAAGGUAUUUUCGGUAUAAAUUAUAAGAAAUAAACGGAAUAGUAAUAAAACUCUAACAGAGGAGGAGUAAAUGCAACAAUUUUGAAAUGUCGAGGGCAUAAAAUAUAGAUUUUUAAAAGUAAGAAGAGAAAGGAAAGAAAAAACGAAUAUUUAUAUGAGAGUUUUCAGUAAUUUAGCCAUUUUAAAAAGGCUAAAUUAUAGAAAACUCCUCGUCAAUAUCUGCUUUUUCACUUUCCUCCCUAUUAUUCAAAAAUUUAUACUUUGCCCCCUUAAAAAAUAAAAAAUGUUUACUUUGGUCUCUGCCGUCAGUGUUUCGUUUAUAUUUUAUUUUUUAUAUCCAAAAUAUUGCUAAAAUCCUAAUCCAUGCCCACACACAUGCCCUCCGCCGCCGCCUCGUCCUCCGCUGCCUCGCCCUCGCCCACUCCUCUGUCCAUGCCUACCAGACACACGCCCUCGUCCUCCUCCGCCGGCCAGAUGAGCAAGAUCGGGGAGGAGAAGAUGAAGAAUAUGAGGACAAUUUGAUCAUUUUGUCACACUGUAUUCUCUAUGAGCAUUUUUUAAUUUUUAAAGAGACCGUGUAGAUUUUUGAAUGAUAGAAAAAAAAGUAAAAAAGCAGAUAUUAACAGAAAAAUUUUAAGUAAUUUAGCAUUUUAAAAAUUGCAAAUAGGAGAUCCCACAUCCUGUGGUUUGGUAAAAUUGGUCAUUUUAAAAGUCUUAUCUCAUUUUUUAAGAAAAAAUUAAUUAAUUUAGAAAUUUAUUUUUGCUAAAAUGUUUGAUAUCAGCAGAGCUUAGAAAUUUAGGAGUAUUUUGUUAACAAUCCAAAACAACUUAUUUAAACCCUAAUUUGUCAAUUUUUAAAAUUUUUGGAUCUAUUUGAGAUUUAUAAAGUGUAGAAUGAUAACUGGUGUAAUUUUUAGUGUAGGAAAUUAAAAUAUAUGCAAGAUUUUUUAUAAUUUAGCCCAAAUUUUAGACUAAAUUAGAACUUUUUUUUUGAAACUAAAAAUCCAUCGCUUUCUCACUAUAUCAAAGCUUCAAAUUUCCUCUCUCAAAAAAAUAAAAUAAAAAAUAAAACAAAACAAAAGUUUCAAAUUUUUUUAUUUUAGGCUAAAAUACAAAAAACCUUCUUAAAAAUACUUGUUUUUUUUAUUUUUCUUCUCAGACUUUCAAAGCGUACAUUUUGCCAUCUUAAAAUUUCAAAAAUAUUUUCAGGGGCGAAACGGCGUUAAUGGAGAGGGCAAAAUGAUCAAAUUGCUCUUACUUUUUCUAGUAAGUAAAAAAUAAUUUUUUAAUAUAUUUCUGUUAUUUUUUUCAAAAAAAAUUCGGUAUAAAUUAUAAGAAAUGAAUAUAAUAAUAAUAAUGAAACCCAAACAGUAGGAGGUUAAAUGCAAUAACUUAAAAUAUUAAGAGGAUAAAUUAUAAAUUUUUAAAAAAUAAAAAAAUAUUUAUAAGAAGGUUUUAUGUAAUUUAGCCUUUAUUUUACAAAACAAGCCCUAUAUUUGGCGUUCGCAUAAAGAAGGCUCUAUGCGAGCGUCCUGAGAAAUGAUUUCCCACUAAAAAAGUAUGCGGUUGCCACUGAGCCACAAAUAACAAUUUUUUCCCCCACUCACUUACUCACACUCUCUCUCUCUCUCUCUCUCUCUCUUCUUCUAUUUUUUUUAUAGGAUUAAUUGCAUACUGGUUUUCACAAAUAUAGUAAAUUAUAAAUAUAUUUCUAUAAAAUUUAACUUUCAUAAAUUAUCUCUGUAAAAUUUCUAAUAUUUUCAAAUAUGUCCAGCUAGUUUGUUAUCGUUAGAGAACCGUUAAAAAACUAUUUAUAUUUCCAAUUUUGCCAUCAUAAAAAUGUCCCUCCAAAAAUUAUAACAGUAUAAUAUAAAAGAGGUAAAAACAUGAAAAAUUAACUAGGGUAAAGUAUUUAACCUAUGAUUAACUAAACUUUUCUAACGAAUUCUUACGGGAGAGACAUAUAUGAAAAUAUUAGGACUUUUGUAGAAAUAAUUUAUGAAAGUUGAACUUUACAGGAAUAUAUUUGCAAUUCACUAUGUUUGCGGAGACCUAUAUGCAAUCAACCUUUUUUUUUGUAUAUAAUUUUUAAUUUAAAAUGUAUGGAGAAACCCCUCAACUUUAGGCGAUUCUGAAAUGGCCCCUCAACUUUAAAUAUUUUUUUUUAGGGAAAACUUCAAAUACCACAUCUGUGGUUUCACGCUUUCUCUCUUUAGUACCUUGUGAUUUAAAGUGUAUCAAUUUAGUAUCCUGUUGUUUUAUUUUUAUCUUUUUAUUAUCGAUUCUACUAAUUUUUUUUCGUUAAAUAAGUGAUAAGGUUAAAGCUAAAGGGAACUAAAGUGAAUAUUCGAUAAACCUACAUGGGGUACCUGAAGUUUUUUGUAUAUAAUUUAACGAAUUAUUAACGAAAAAGCUGACGAAAAGAUAAAAAUAAAACCACAAUGAUCAUAUAAUCCGCGGGCAUAAUGAUACUAAUUUGAUACACUUUAAAAAAGAAUAUUACAGGCAAUGUCGGGUAUAGGUAAGAAUGUUGACUAUUCAAAAAUUUACGGGCAGAUUUUAGCCAUGCUCAUAUAAUCCGCGGGCAUAAUGAUCUGUCGGUG
rnacentral:lncRNA from 1 species